CGGGGAGAUAGCGGUGCCCUGUACCUGCAAUCCGCUACAGCAGGGGUGAUGCCGAGCCGAGGGUUUUGCUCUGCGGGGUCUGCCCUUUAUAAGUGGUGUUGAAGCCUGGGUCUUACGCAACAGAACUUUGCGAACCGUGUCAGGGCAGGAAUGCAGCAGCACUAAACAAAGCCCUCUGUGUGCCGUAAGGCAGCCUGGGCCGAGCUAACUGUAGAGGUUACGCCCGUGGGGGAAAUUCGAAGUAAGGCGCGCG
rnacentral:SRP_RNA from 1 species